GAAAUGCGAUAAGUAAUGUGAAUUGCAGAAUUCAGUGAAUCAUCGAAUCUUUGAACGCUCAUUGCGCCCGCCAGUAUUCUGGCGGGCAUGCCUGUCCGAGCGUCAUUUCAACCAUCAAGCCCCCGGGCUUGUGUUGGGGACCUGCGGCUGCCCGCAGGCCCUGAAAACCAGUGGCGGGCUCGCUGUCACACCGAGCGUAGUAGCAAUCACCUCGCUCAGGGCGUGCUGCGGGUUCCGGCCGUUAAACAGCCUUACAAAACCCAAGGUUGACCUCGGAUCAGGUAGGAAGACCCGCUGAACUUAAGC
rnacentral:misc_RNA from 1 species